AUCUGUAGCUGCGGGGUUGUGUGGGUGCUGUGGUGGUCUAUAGGGUGUGGCUUUGUGGGGGGCUGCAGUGGGCUUGUGGAGCUUUGAGGGGCAUGUGGGCUCUGAGGUGUAAUUUGGGGCUUUAAAGGUCUGUUUUGGGUGCCCCAUUGGUCCGUAGUGAGCUGCAGGAGGACGCCCUGUGGGGCUGUAGGGGAGCGUUGGGGCUGUAGGACCUGAAGUGGGAUGUAAUCUGGGGUCGUAGUGGUGUGGGGCUGUAGUGGGCUAUGAGCCCCCUGUGGGGCUGCAGCAGUGGACACCGUGGAGCUCGGGGUAGGACGUAGUUUGUGUCUGCAAGGCUGUAUGGGGGCUGUGGGAUCCAUCCCAUGGGGCUGUAGGGGGAUGCCCUGAGGGGCUGCAGUGGGUUGUAGGGUCAAGGGGAUGCUCCAUGAGCUGCGUGGGGGAGGGGCUGUAGCAAAACCCCAGCAUGAUGUGACCUCGUCCAGCUCCUGCGCUGAUCCCUGUUGAAAGCAAGUGAGAAUGCUGCAACAAAAUCUGGCUGCGGAUGAAACAUUCUUGCAGCAGCCUUGGAGGCUGAAUGUCAGCUGAGGAUCUCAAAAGUGAGGGGGAGCAGCAAACGCCUUGUCUCAAGACCCUUUUUCAGGACCUGAGGGAAUGGUGCUUCUACUGCAGCAGUGCAGCAAAAACUUGCAUGCAAGGAGAAAAUAUUCUACCUUGGCAUUUGGAGCCUCACUAACAAGCAGCCAGAGAGGAGCGAUGCCAUAUAAAACUUUAACUUCUAAAUAUGAAAUUUUGGAGAUUGCAAUGAGCAGAGAGUGCCAGCUCCAUGCCAGCAGUAGGGAGGAGGCAGAGGGAACGCCAUCAGCUCGCUACUUGCUGCUGCACAGAGCACAUAGCCCCAGGAGUUUCUCUGCCCGGUGUCCUGUUACCACUUGAAUCAAGAUGUGAACGCCAAGCCAGCUUAUUUUUAGCACAAUUUGGACCUAAAGAAGCAAACGCUGGUGAAAUAUGCAGUACUGACAGCCCUGGAAAAUCUUUAUUCAUCUGCAGCACAGGAAGCAGGGAAGGAUGCGAGAAAGCAGAGCAAUCCCAAGCUACAAACCAAGUCUCUCAGCUUCUUGGACUCAGCCUCUCUAGCACUGCACAGAUCCUGGCGGUAGCUGGGAGAGGGUUUUUCCACGCUCAGAGCGGGCCUGGCACAGCAGGGAGGAGUGCGGCGUGCCGCAGAUUAGGACAGCCUGCAAGCCUCCAGCUGAGCUCACUACGUCUGUUGGAGCUCAACUGCAGCAACGGUGGGACUGUAAAAAUGGGAGAGACUCGGAAAACUUGAGUAUCAGAGCCCUGCUCUGCUAAGCUCUGAGAGUUUACUGUGUUAAUACAACAUUGGAUCUGUGCAACUGGGCGGUCCAGUGGCACUGAUGCUGCCCUGUACCACCUCUAGCAGUCACUCAGACCCUCUGCUCUGUGGAGGAACCCAAAAGGAGGACACUUAUGAAACAACCAUCAUGCCAAGCAGGCAUGUUUCUAUCCCCAUCUCUUAGGACCCUGCUGAAAUCCUGCAGUGCAUUUAGGUAUCUUCAGGACCUGAGCUGGCUGGGGGCUGGUAAAUCACUGCAGGCAGCAGUUGGCUGGAGUGGAGAUGGGGCCAUGAAGGGGAGCAGAGCAGCAAAAAUGGGUCCCUUCAACUUUUGGGGCACAGACGUGCAUCUGGAUGGUGAAUGCAGAAACACUGAAGCAAGGUAUGUUGUAAAAACAAAAACAACACAGGAACACCUGACCCACAGCCAGGAGCCUCCCCGUUACAUUGGGAACAGCCCUCAUCAGCAUCUCACACUGAGGCAGCUUGAGCUGACGAAGCCUUUGGAAAGCACUGAUUCCUAUGUGUCCUGGAGCACAGCAAGCACAGAUGAUGAUGAAGCCAUCACAGCUGGUUACAGCUGUAUUGCAUGAGCUUGAGCUGCCCAUUCUUUGGUGCCAGUGGAUGGCAUGAUGCUUUGAAAAGGAGCCCAUCAUUGGACAUCAUGGAACCUAAUUGGCACGGUUUGUCACAGCAUCAACACUGGGUAGCUUAGCCUGUAGAGCUGAGGGACCACCUCAGCCUCUCAAAAACUACUGGCACAUGCUGUCUUGCUCUUUCAACACUGCACUGAGAUUUUCAUAUUUCUCCAGCCAAUCUUCCAUUCCCUCUCUUGCAAGGAACAGCAAGAAGGGCAUGUAAAAGGCAAUAGCGAGGCUGGAAAAUCCCAAGUAAGGCUCUACCCCUGGCUGAAGGUCAGGAGAGUGGCCAUAAAUGCUGGCCAAGGCUGGAUCAUGAGAGGCUCCUCAGGGAUGGGGAGCCGUGGACAGAUGUGCGCUCCUGGAUCCAGCUGUGCCACUGGACGUGCUCCCCCCUCCAGACAUUUCUCCCCACCCUCCAGAUGCUCCAGCCCCUGCAGCACAAAGCAGCGUCGCUCACUGGGGUGAACUCUCCAUUGACAGAAUGUUGCAGAGCAUCAUUUCCAGCUAAGGCCAGUAAUGAGUAGCUGGGGCAUGGUGACAUUUCCAGCUGACAGCCCUCUGUGGAAAGAACGUCUGCCUGUGGCUGGAGAAUAACCAAGGUAGCCAAGGAGGAGCGGUUUGAGACAGUUCAGGAUUGCUGGGAGGAGGUCGGCGAGCCAUGCAGCAAAACUAGUUGCAUUUCAUAGAAAAGUGUAAGAAGGGCUUUUAUAGCCAAAGUUGUAGCAGGGAAGCAGGCAAGGAGGGAAGUGAAACUAUGAGCAAACCAAAGGGGCUCGUACUCAGAGCCCCCCUCAAAAUCCCGUCCCCUUAGUUCCCAAAAACGUGUUUUGGGAAAUGUUAGAUUUAAGAAAUCAAUCUGUGUAGGCUGCAGACAUCCUCUGGUAUUCAUCCUCAGUUGUUAAUGGAAGGAUUAGUUAAUGAACAUUUUGAUCCGUAGGUGGCUAUUUUAUAAAUUUUUGGACAACGUGGUCCUGAGAGGCAGAAAGGAAAUGUGGUGGUGAUUUAGAGCAGAAAAGGAUAGAAUAUAAUUCUGGCACUCACCAGCCUAUAAAUAUCGUAGAACAAAUAUUUAAGAAAAAGUCAUGAUGAAAUGUUUAGAGCUUGGUUCUGUCCACACGAUAGUGUCAACAGGGAGAAACUGCAGAAGCCAGAUGCUGAGUAAAAUUACCAGGAGACAAGAGUUGGACUUGAAGAAUGAUGGGCACAGAAAACUUUUCUUCUUUUCCAACUUUUUUUUUUUGGUGGGAAGAGGUAUAACGUUAGAGAAUGACAGAGCCAGAAGAUGAAGGGAGCACACAUUUAUGAACAUGUGUUUUUGUUUUGAUUAAUGUAUUCUGCUUCUUUGUCUUAGGAAAUAAGAAAUUAGAAUAAAAAAAAUGUGUUGGUCUGAAACACAGUUUGUGCAAACUGAAAACACAUUGAAAUGCAGUAACUAAUCCCAAACAAGAGCAAGCUGCGUUGAACAAGGCGUGUCCACCAGGGUAGGACAAGAGUCAGGAUCAAGUUUCGUUAACAACUUUGCUGAUGAUCCGGGAGGACAGCACCAGUAUGAAUUGAAAUUCACAGAGGACAGUAAAUUAGAAGCAGAUUAGUAAGUAAGCAGGAGUUUUCUGUGGUUUAGAUCUACUUCUGUUCCAAACACCUGGAAAUUUCCACCCGAUAUGAAGAGGCAUUUCAUGCACUGAAAAAUCUCAUCUCAUUGAGUGACAUUUUCAUUACUCACCACCUAGCCCACUCAGUCUCUUUGUAACCCUCUGAAUGUACUUCUGGGUAUCUUUCACAGGUCUUUCCACAGGUCCAACCCUUCUCUUUGUUAACUUGUGUGACAUUUAGAGACACGUUUCUGGAACAAACGUGCACCCAGUGCUUGCAGCCGCCAUCUCCAGGUUUGCUACCUGCCCACUUUCCCCACAUGCAAAGAAAAUCACUUGAAGUCACUCCAGUGAUGGAGUGGUGCGCAUUUGAAUGUAUGUCCCAUCUCCACGUGGCCUCCAGCGCUCUUAUCUGCUAAUACAAAUAAAACUGGUUUCAUAAGAAACCUCCCAGGUCUGUGUUUGCCAACAUGCUCCUGUGGCACAUAGAAUGCUCCCUGACCUCCUUCUCCUUAUGUGACUUGGGUGAUCCGUGGCUGUUACUCAAGACCUUUCAUCCACGGAAUCUUGGGUAACAUCCGUGAGUUUUCUAAGUAGAAUAAGUCAGGUCCCUGGAGCGCUGACCUGGGCUCUCCACGCUAUCGGGAGAAAGGGAGCAGGGAAGGACAGAGCUUGUGAGCCUGUGUCUUCUUCCAUCAUGCCGGCCUGAGGGAACAUCAUGGAGCUGUGUCGGGAGGGUCAGGCUGAGUGUUUGGAAAAGGUCCUUCACCAGAAGGUGGUGGGCAUGGAACAGGCUCCUCAGGGCAGUAGGCACAGGCCCCAGCUGCUGGAGCUCAAGGUGCAUUUGGACAAUACUCUCAGCCAUAGGGUUUGAAUUUUGGGUGGUCCUGUGUGGAGCCAGGCGUUGGACUCGAUGUUCCUUAUGGGUCCCUUCCAACUCAGGAUAUUCUGUGAUCUUAUUAUUAUUCUGGUUCUAGAAGGACACAGGCUAUUUCUGGGGCUGAUUUGAUAACUUCUGAUCUUCUCUCACAGAUAAAGCUCAAUGUGUGAGGAAAUCAGGCUGGUGAUGGGAUCAGCUUUACCUUACGCGGAGGGAGCAGCCACGAUGGGAAAGGGAGGACUUCAUCUGUUAAUUAUUUCAGCAUCUGCUGCGGAUGAAGGGUAAGGGGAGAGGUGGAAGACCUGGAGAUGGAACAAUAGCUAAAAUGAUCUAGGGAGAUUGUAAGUCACAGGAACCUCCAUCAUCACACACUGGGAGUCCUUCUCAGAAGGUCUUGACCCUUGAGAUGUCACCCCCGAGAUGUCCUCCUUUGCAGGGCCACAGAAGACAGUGUUCCCAAGUGAGUUCAGCUCAUGGAUGAGGCCAGUUAAUGAAGUUGCCACCCAUGGCUGUUUCAUAGGGCAGGGGGACCUAUCCCAUUACUGAGAACAUGGUCUGUGUGAGUCAGCCAUGGAGGCUGUACACUGCAAGGGGCAGGAGCAGGCUGAAGCCUUCCAAAGAGACAAUAUUUAUCCGGUUUGGUUUGUGGUUGCUUGAAGUCUGCUGGAGAAUUUGCUCCCAAACAACCAAACAA
ensembl:lncRNA